rnacentral:tRNA from 1 species
GUGUUCGUGGUGUAGAGGUCCCUGCACACCCGGCUGUGAACCGGAAGGUAAGGGUUCGAAUCCCUUCGAACACC